UUUUUUUUUUUUUUCAGCAGAAAAUCAGUAGGUGUCGAGGCGGAGACGUGCAGCAUCAGCAGGGGCAGCUCGCUGGGGAGCAAACACGAAGGCACCGGGUGCGCAAGGAGUUAAGGAGGAGUUAAGGGGCCCGGCCAGGCUGGUGCGGGAGGAAGCCACCCUCUGCGGGGAAGGAAGGGACAGAACAAUUAGUCAUUUAUUUUGGUCGGAGGCAGCGUCCCAUUAAAAUAUUGCUGCCCAAGCUGCGCGCACAUGGCAAGAAGCAGAGCACCCGGCUAGCAGCGAGACAAAGGCAGCCUGUGCUCCCGAGAUGUUUUAUUCAUGCGCAGCCUGGGAGCACCAAAAAGCCCAGCCGGGACAGGGACAGCAGCGAGGGGCUGUGCUGACCACCAUAGGCUGGGGCAGCACCAGGAUUUGCAGUUUUUUUCCCAGUUUUGCCACCUCGUUGUGCUCAUUUGCCCGUGCUGUGCAGGAGCCGUGGUCCUGGCACCGCUGCUGGAGCUCCGUGCCCCUGGCGGAGGAUUAGCUGUCCUGCACACGCAUGGUGUUGGGCCACUGCUUCUGCAAGCAGAGCUCGAGAGCCUUCCCACCUGGAAGCGACUGCAAAUUCAGCUGUGGUAAGGGCUAGGAAUGAAGUUAACACACGGACACCACCAGCUCGAGGUGCUCACAGCAGGCAGGGUCUGGGUGCCCACGGUGGCACCACCCCACCCCGGGCAGCGUGGCAUGAAGCAGAGCCGCAUUUUGGGGCUUGGGUAAUUGCCUGUGCCCAAGCACAUGCCCGAGGGAGGGAACCGUGUGGGUUCAGGGCAGAGGUUGCACAGCUCCCGGAGGAAAAGACGCCUCUUCCGUCACGCUGAGAGGCGGAGGUGGCAGCUUCCCACCCAGCCCAGCCCUGCCACUGCGCUGGGUGGGCUGUCGAAGCUGUGAGUGUCCCUUCCCGGGGGUGGAUUUCCCCCUGAAUUGCUGCUGAGAGCACCACUAAAUAAAGCACUCUUCAUGGUGGCCA
rnacentral:lncRNA from 1 species